rnacentral:rRNA from 1 species
GAUGAACGCUGGCGGCGUGCCUAAUACAUGCAAGUCGAGCGAACAGACGAGGAGCUUGCUCCUUCGACGUUAGCGGCGGACGGGUGAGUAACACGUAGGUAACCUACCUAUAAGACUGGGAUAACUUCGGGAAACCGGAGCUAAUACCGGAUAAUAUUUCGAACCGCAUGGUUCGAUAGUGAAAGAUUGCUUUGCUAUCACUUAUAGAUGGACCUGCGCCGUAUUAGCUAGUUGGUAAGGUAACGGCUUACCAAGGCAACGAUACGUAGCCGACCUGAGAGGGUGAUCGGCCACACUGGAACUGAGACACGGUCCAGACUCCUACGGGAGGCCGCAGCAGGGAAUCUUCCGCAAUGGGCGAAAGCCUGACGGAGCAACGCCGCGUGAGUGAUGAAGGUCUUCGGAUCGUAAAACUCUGUUAUUAGGGAAGAACAAACGUGUAAGUAACUGUGCACGUCUUGACGGUACCUAAUCAGAAAGCCACGGCUAACUACGUG